rnacentral:rRNA from 1 species
CGCGUGGGUAACCUACCCUGUACACACGGAUAACAUACCGAAAGGUAUGCUAAUACGGGAUAAUAUAUUUGAGAGGCAUCUCUUAAAUAUCAAAGGUGAGCCAGUACAGGAUGGACCCGCGUCUGAUUAGCUAGUUGGUAAGGUAACGGCUUACCAAGGCGACGAUCAGUAGCCGACCUGAGAGGGUGAUCGGCCACAUUGGAACUGAGACACGGUCCAAACUCCUACGGGAGGCAGCAGUGGGGAAUAUUGCACAAUGGGCGAAAGCCUGAUGCAGCAACGCCGCGUGAGUGAUGAAGGCCUUCGGGUCGUAAAACUCUGUCCUCAAGGAAGAUAAUGACGGUACUUGAGGAGGAAGCCCCGGCUAACUACGUGCCAGCAGCCGCGGUAAUACGUAGGGGGCUAGCGUUAUCCGGAUUUACUGGGCGUAAAGGGUGCGUAGGCGGUCUUUCAAGUCAGGAGUGAAAGGCUACGGCUCAACCGUAGUAAGCUCUUGAAACUGGGAGACUUGAGUGCAGGAGAGGAGAGUGGAAUUCCUAGUGUAGCGGUGAAAUGCGUAGAUAUUAGGAGGAACACCAGUUGCGAAGGCGGCUCUCUGGACUGUAACUGACGCUGAGGCACGAAAGCGUGGGGAGCAAACAGGAUUAGAUACCCUGGUAGUCCACGCUGUAAACGAUGAGUACUAGGUGUCGGGGGUUACCCCCCUUCGGUGCCGCAGCUAACGCAUUAAGUA